AUAUAUACAUAUAUGUAUAUAUACAUAUAUACAGGAAAAUCUUAAGUAAUUUUUUUAACCUGUAUCCUACACAAGUCUCCAAAGUCCUAACACAAUUAAGCACAUUUGGUUUGAAAAGGAAUAUGAAGCGCCAUUAAUUCAGUGGCGGUACCUCCCACUCCUAGGACCAUACCACUGAUAUGCUCAAGCUGACUUCAAAAUCAUGAGCCAAGAUUAAACUACCUUGAAAAUCAGUAAAAUGCAGUGGAAGAAUUCUGUGACCAUGUGUGCCAAAGGUUGUAGAAAGUAAUGAGCUUGAGAGAAACUCUACUCUGUUGAGUUUCAUUGUACUCUGCAGUUGUCCCUUAUAGCCAGCUGUGAAUCAUGCUACCUAAGUCUCUUAGACUGGCUACAUUUAUUUACUUCUAUUCGUGGGCACAUAGCAUCACCACACGCCUGUGUAUUCAUGGUUUCCAUGGGAACCUAUUUUGUAUGUCAACAGUGAGAUCACUGCCAUCCAACAAACCCAUCUCUGGAUCUCCACCAAUUGUAUGAGGUUAUCUUCUUUUUUAAAAGUAUAAAUUUCUAGGAACCUAAUUUCCCCUGUACUUUUCCAGAAAUGGCCUUAGAUGGACGGACCUAUUGUAGUUUCAUCACUAUACCAUAAUCUGUAAAAUUACUCAAGAGCUUCAAAGCAUGGAAUAACAUUCAGAAAUAUCAUGACCUAGCCAUAUUUGUUCCUACUCUGAAGGACCGUGAAUAAAGGGUCUUCUACAAUGGCCCUCCUUAAGAAGUGGCACUUCCUAACGCUUUACCUGGGACUAUAGGUCUCUUUUGAUUUUUUUUUCCCCUAAUAGAGAACUCACAUGCAUUUGAAAGGGAAUGAAACAAUUGAGAACAGUUCUUCCAAAGUAUGCAGAUAACAGCAAAAAUAUAAAAUGGUAUGGCCUUUUAUUUUGGGUCAGUUGUGGGACUUUAACUCGGGGCCUGGAUGCUGUCCCUGAGCUCUUUUGCAAGGCUAGCACUAUCACUUUGAGCAA